rnacentral:rRNA from 1 species
UACGGGGGGGGCAAGCGUUGUUCGGAAUUACUGGGCGUAAAGGGCUCGUAGGCGGCCAACUAAGUCGGACGUGAAAUCCCUCAGCUUAACUGGGGAACUGCGUCCGAUACUGGAUGGCUUGGAUUCGGGAGAGGGAUGCGGAAUUCCAGGUGUAGCGGUGAAAUGCGUAGAUAUCUGGAGGAACACCGGUGGCGAAGGCGGCAUCCUGGACCGAUAUUGACGCUGAGGAGCGAAAGCCAGGGGAGCAAACGGG